rfam:Asian citrus Psyllid, Diaphorina citri - Florida Strain, whole genome shotgun sequence.
GCUCCCAUGGUGUAGUGGUCACCGCACUCGCCUUGUACUCGGGAGACCCGGGUUCGAUUCCCGGUGGGGUCA